rnacentral:rRNA from 1 species
UACGUAGGGUGCGAGCGUUGUCCGGAAUUAUUGGGCGUAAAGAGCUCAUAGGCGGUUUGUUGCGUCUAUCGUGAAAACCUGCGGCUUAACUGUGGGCUUGCGGUGGAUACGGGCAGACUUGAGUUCGGUAGGGGAGACUGGAAUUCCUGGUGUAGCGGUGAAAUGCGCAGAUAUCAGGAAGAACACCCGUGGCGAAGGCGGCUCUCUGGGACGGUACUGACGCUGAGACGCGAAAGCGUGGGGAGCGAACAGG